rnacentral:tRNA from 1 species
AAAUAAGAAGCUAUUAUAGCAUUUAAUUUCGACUUAAAAAUUUGAAAAUAUUAUUUUCCUUAUUUA